rnacentral:sRNA from 2 species
CCCCCUAUCACCCAUUCGCCCUCUCAUAUGCUCUCACAUAUCUACAAAACACCCCUCUCCUCGCGAUCCCACUCCACACUCACAUAGUCUCUAAUGAUUCCUCCACAUAACCCCUAACAUUCUUCCACUCUGUGCUCCACUGCAGCACAACCCCUGAUAUUCUUCUGUCCUGAUCCUCCUUCUAUAAGAACCCCCUCAUACAACCCCUUCUUCUGAUCUUCUUUCUCUUUCUUUUCUUAAUUGAUUUGUAAACUGUUAUCAGGAUAGUGUCAAGUCCAUUGAUAUUGCUGUUGGAACAGAUCAUACAAACUGCACAGGUGGUACAAACAGUUUAAUCUGCAACAUUGGUAACAUCUGCUUAAUCAGUGGCACGCCCGUUACAUCCUCAUCAUUAAAUAUAUAGAUCAUUAUAUCUGAAUAUUUAUAAUAUAAACAACUGUUUUAUAAAG